GAAAGAUAAUUUAGCCCAAAAUAUUUAACUAAUAAUUUCAAAUUUAUUUUAGAACUGAAAGCUCUAAAAACUUAAAUUUUGUGACAAUGAGGAGCAAAGCAUUUCUACUUGGUUUCACAUCUUACAAAGGAAGGAAAUAUAUGGCUACGAAGUUCCCUUCCAAGAUAAAAGUCUGAUUCUACUUGAGGAGCAUACAACAUAGAAUUUACUUUUUUGGUGUAUCUGAAUGUUACAGAUGCUCUCUGGGUUUUUGUUUGCUAGAUAUCAUCUCUUGGUUGUUGACAUUAAGGACGAUUAGAAUAGCAAACUCUUCUACACCUUAUAAAAGAAGGGCAAACAAAAUUUUAGAAGGGGUAAAACUGUUAUAUGCUAAGUCUUCAUUUACUUAUUCUCAUUUUAUGUUCUGCCUCAAAAGUCAUUGUGGUUCAAGAUCUCAAUGAAUGCCCACACACAAUGGAUUCAGAAAAUUAAUCUAAUGAAAAUCUGCUUCCACCUAUCUAGGAAAGACCACAAGUCUAGGAGAAGGCAGGCUAAAUUUCCCUUGUCAAUGGCAGGUGAGGGUGGUGGAGCAAAUCUGAGUACAAAGGUGGGGGUCAGAUAAAGAAGAUGUGAAAAGUAAGAUCAGUCGAGGGAGUCAACUUUGGUAGUAACCCUGAAGAACAGGAAAAAAGGUCCACGCCUCUUACUUACAUGGGAACUCUAAAAAACCUAAACUCACAGGAGAGAGUAGCAUGUUGUUUACCAGAGGCUGGGGAGAGGGUGGGGGGUCAUGAAUGAGGAAAGGGGAGAUGCUGGUCGAUGGGUACAAAGCUUCAGCUGGGAGGAGUAAGUUCUGAUAUUCUACUGCACAGCAUGGUGACUACAGUGAAGAAUAACGUACCGUUUAUUUCAAAACUGCGACAAAAGAUUUUAAAUAUACUCACCACAAAGAAAUGAUCAAUAUUGGAGGUGAUAAAUGUGCCAUUAGCCUGAUUUAAUCAUUUCACAAUGUAUGUAUGUAUUGAAAUACUAUGCUGUACCUCCAAAUAUAUAAAAUUAUUUGUUAAUAAAUCAAGAAACCAUCACCUUCUCCAUAAAUUCUAAUUGCUCAUUUAUUCCAAUGCUUCCAAUUCAAAUAUCACCCAAGGAAAAAGUAAUUUUAACAUUAUCUUGUACACCUUCUUUACAAGUGAUAUUUUAAAUAGGAGAAUAAUAGGAAUUAAAUAAAAAUAAAAUUUUUAAAAAUUAAAUACCCCAGGCAAAUGUUGCAGGCACAAAUAAAUUAUUGUAUAUAAACAUUAAAGCAGGACACAUUGAAACCUUAAUUUUGCUUCAUUUACUCUUAUACUGUAAAGACAUUCAACCAUUUUAAUGGAUGAAAGUUUAAGAGAAAACAAUGUUAACCCUGUGCAUUUUUUUUCAAAACACAUGUAAUACAAGUUAACACACCUAGGAAACGUGUAUUUAGCUUGAUUCAUACUUUUUUUUUUUUUUGGAGAGGAAGUCUAGCUCUGUCACCAGGCUGGAGUACAGUGGCAAUCUUGGCUCACUGCAACCUCUGCCUCCCAGAUUCAAGCAAUUCUCCUGCCUCAGCCUCUCAAGUGGCUGGGACUACAGGUGCAUGCCACCACGCCCAGCUAAUUUUUGUAUUUUGAGAUGGGCCAGGAUGUUGGCCAGGAUGGUCUCAAUCUCUUGACCUUGUGAUCUGCCCACCUUGGCCUCCCAAAGUGCUGGGAUUACAGACAUGAGCCAAUGUGCCCAACCUCCAUUCAUACUCUUUAUUUUGCAUCCCAGUUUACUGUAUUUUCUCUUCCUAAAGUCAGUUAACAGAAGACACUAAAAACAACUUAGUUUCAGGGAUUCAUUUUUUGCUUCUUUUUUUUUUUAAGCGGCAGAAUCUUGCUCCAGGAUCAAGUGCAGUGGCACAAUCAUAGCUCAGUGUAACCCUGAACUCCCGGGCUUAAGUGAUCCUCCCACCUCAGCCACCUGAGUAGCUGGGACUAAAGGUGUGUGCCACCAUACCCAGCUAAGAUUCAUUUUUAUAGUCUAAUUAUUUUAUAUUAGUUUUUAACACAAUUGCAGAUUUUGCAUGUUUAUUCUAAACAACAAUUUGCCAGUUACUGGAAGAUAAGACUGUUAAACUGGCAAUUUUCUAUAUAAAAGGUUACUAUAUUAGAAUGGCAGCAACAGCCAGAGAUUUGGGAUACAAUCUUAAAUGACAGAAGUAAAACAAAAAGUUACACAAGAGAGCUGGAUCAUUAAUUAGAUCAAGAGUUUGGCAAACAGGUUAUGUGAAGGGUAAAACGGGAAAUUUUUUCAGCUCUACAGGCCGUAUGUUCUCUGUUGUAACUACUCAGCUUAGCCUUUGUAAUGUGGAAACAGCCACAAACAACAGACACUUUUUCAGUUUGUUUGUAACUGAAAAACUGCAGCUGUUUUCCAAUAAAAUUUUGUUUACAAAAAUCAGUAGGCAGAAUUAGACCAAUAGUUUG
rnacentral:lncRNA from 1 species